GCCAACAGCAGGAGACCUGCUCCUGACAAGCGACGCCAAAUGAUUAGAAUCCUUGUGGAUGAAAUGAGAAGAUGUCUGCCACUGCAGCCGAUGUGGAGCGGACACUGACCCUCCCGACCAGUCCACGACUGAUACUGCUGGAUGGGGAGUUGACUCUUCGUAUCAUCCAGCUGUUGAUGGCCUAUUUUGAUGAAAGAAG